GACGAACGCUUGGCGGCAGGCCUAACACAUGCAAGUCGAGCGAGACCUUCGGGUCUAGCGGCGGACGGGUGAGUAACGCGUGGGAAUAUGCCCUUCGGUUCGGAAUAGCCCCGGGAAACUGGGAGUAAUACCGGAUACGGUCUACGGACGAAAGAUUUAUCGCCGAAGGAUUAGCCCGCGUUGGAUUAGGUAGUUGGUGGGGUAAUGGCCUACCAAGCCGACGAUCCAUAGCUGGUUUGAGAGGAUGAUCAGCCACACUGGGACUGAGACACGGCCCAGACUCCUACGGGAGGCAGCAGUGGGGAAUCUUAGACAAUGGGGGAAACCCUGAUCUAGCCAUGCCGCGUGAGCGAUGAAGGCCUUAGGGUUGUAAAGCUCUUUCAGCGGGGAAGAUAAUGACUGUACCCGCAGAAGAAGCCCCGGCUAACUCCGUG
rnacentral:rRNA from 1 species